UACGUAGGGGGCAAGCGUUGUCCGGAAUUAUUGGGCGUAAAGAGCGCGUAGGCGGUCCGGUAAGUCGGCUGUGAAAGUCAAGGGCUCAACCCUUGAAAGCCGGCCGAUACUGUCGGACUAGAGUCCGGAAGAGGCGAGUGGAAUUCCCGGUGUAGCGGUGAAAUGCGCAGAUAUCGGGAGGAACACCAGUGGCGAAGGCGAGUCUCUGGACAUUUCCUGACGCUGAGGCACGAAAGCCAGGGGAGCAAACGGG
rnacentral:rRNA from 1 species